GAGUGAAUUCUCAUCUCCUCAACUAACUGGUAUAAUAUCUGAGGGACAGCAAAUUAAAAAUAAAUGUUUAAACAAUUUACCUUGCUAUUGUGGCAGGUGGAGGUCGGUAAGUGAUUAUUAGGCAUUAGGUUAUUCAUUGGUUGGUGCUGAUAGAGGAGGUUGGAUUAUGUCUAUAUAAACAACAUGCAUGUGUGACCUAAACGAGCGUCACUUCCCGGGAUCCCGUGUCAUGGAUUGAGGGCUGUUGUGAUUUUGCUUCGCAGGACGAUCGCAGCAACUGUAGUCAUCUCCGUGGCUGCAGAUAUCGUGGCUUUGACGUAUUGUUCGUGGUGUGUGUCUCACAUCUGUUUAUGCGACCAUAUUCAGUCAAUAAAUACAAUGCCGUGUUAUGGGCGGAUGACGACUGUUAUUUUCCCUCGUGUAUCCUGAGCUUCACCAGCUGAAUGAUUAAACUGAAACUAUACUUCGCAUUGCAACUAUGGAGUAUUAUCUUCACCUCUACUGACUCCCGGGUCCCUGCGCCUGUUAUAUGAGUGAUGGGGGCAUGCAGUGACGUCACCGCUGUCUUGUUCUUCGUUGAACGUUCGUGAAUGCCAUUUUUAUGCGGUUGUGAAUCCGCUAAUGGUGUGGGAGUGCUCUUUUGCACUUAGAUGGUCCAGUUGUGUUUUUAUUUAAUUGAUUUUAUUAGUUAUUUUUGGUUAAUCUCUGUAUCUUUGCCAAUGUACUGGUGAUUAUUUGUUUUCUCUGUUGUUCCAGUGACGAUUGGUUUUGUGUUCUUUAUUCUUUAAUUUGAUUUAAUUUUGUUAAUUUAUUGUUUCGGAUGCCUCCUGGACGCCUCCCUGGGGAGGUGUUCCGGGCAUG